ACCAAAAAUUCCCGCCACCAAAAACACCAGAACAAAAUAUUUUGACCGAUUCUCAAGGGAGGCAGUUCGACUCCCAGCUCUCCGAUCUCCCCUGCGACCCCUCCUCCCUCGGACUCCCAUCUCCCCUGCGCCCCACCCCACUCCCCCCUCGGACUCACAUCUCCCUUGCGACACCUCCUCUCUCGGACUCUGAUCCCCUCUCCCCUGUGAUGCCUCACUCCGACUCCAUUCCCCUCUGAAGCUUUCAAUUCCCCCAGGUUCAGCAGGCAGUCAGGUCGUCUGACGAUCAGUGGCAUCUUCCCCACCGAUGUAACUGCAAGGGAGAUAGUGACCAAAGACAAUGCAUUCUUAGCUUAUUCAGCAUUUUGAAAAGUUACAGUGCAAGUUCAGAGCUAACAAGUCAAGUCCUCUGCACCCCAAAAUUACAAACCCCCGAUUGCGCUACCAUGGCUUCGGAUGUUUGGACUCUCCAUCUUGAAUGCGAGGGGGCAGCUCCAGGACAGGAACAUGUGCAAAGGGAAAUGGACAAGGAUAUGAUAUGUUUCUUCAACUUGAUGGAGUUUGUCAAAGACAAUGGGUACACAUCCAUCGAUUAUUUGUAUUACAAGAGAAGAGAUAGUUUGGUUGCUAUAGAAUGAUGUCAUGGAAAUGCUUAAAGACAAUGAGACCACAAAGGAAGUUAGCUUGUUUGUGACAAAACAGAGAAUGGCCAUUAUGGCAUCUAAGUCGAAGAAAGCAUCAACCAAGUCCGCACCAACUAAAACUAAAAGGAG